rnacentral:SRP_RNA from 1 species
GCCGGGCGCGGUGGCGCGUGCCUGUGGUCCCAGCUACUCGGGAGGCUGAGGUGGGAGGAUCGCUUGAGCCCAGGAGUUCUGGGCCGUAGCACGCUAUGCUGAUCGGGUCCGCACUAAGUUUGGCAUCAAUAUGGUGACCUCCUGGGAACGGGGGACCACCAGGUUGCCUAAGGAGGGUGAACCAGCCCAGGUCAGAAACGGAGCAGGUCAAAACUCCCGUGCUGAUCAGUAGUGGGAUCGCACCUGUGAAUAGCCACUGCACUCCAGCCUGGGCAACACAGCGAGACCCCGUCUCU